GGAUGCAUAUCGGAGCAAUCAACCAAGGCAUCAAAAUUAGUUCUGUUUUUCUUAAAUUAAGACUUUAUUUAGAAAUUAUAUUGAGUUUAAGCUUUUAUACAAAAUCAGAUUCUGAAUUUCAUAAAGAUUUUCAAUAGAAGCUUUCAAAGUCAUAAUUUGAGAUAUGUAUCUUCCACAUUGUAGCUCAUCUUAAAUCAUUACGAUUGAAAACACAUAUUUCAA
rnacentral:lncRNA from 1 species